CGCGGGGUGGAGCAGUUCGGUGGCUCGUCGGGCUCAUAACCCGAAGGUCGCAGGUUCAAAUCCUGCCCCCGCAACCA
rnacentral:tRNA from 1 species